rnacentral:rRNA from 1 species
UACGAAGGGGGCUAGCGUUGUUCGGAUUUACUGGGCGUAAAGCGCGUGUAGGCGGGUCGUUAAGUUGGGGGUGAAAUCCCGAGGCUCAACCUCGGAACUGCCUUCAAAACUGGCGACCUGGAGCAAGAUAGAGGCAAGUGGAAUUGCGAGUGUAGAGGUGAAAUUCGUAGAUAUUCGCAGGAACACCAGUGGCGAAGGCGACUUGCUGGAUCUUUGCUGACGCUGAGACGCGAAAGCGUGGGGAGCAAACGGG